rnacentral:lncRNA from 10 species
ACACUCAGGGAGUACACCAUGUGAAGACUGGACUUAAACAGCUACACCACCAGAAGCCGAGAGAGAGGCUGGAACAUAGCCUUCCCUUUGGAGCCCUAGCAGAUGCUAAUCCAGCGUGCGUCCUGACAGAGGUUGAAGGGGGCUUCUCAAGUCCCAGGUCCAGCUUGGUGUGGUUCAGCUACUCAAGAGACAUCUGCUGCUAAUGGAUGAGCAGUCAACCUGGACGCAGGAAAUCAUUUUUUAUUUGGAAUAACUGGGAGAUGAAACAGGAAGCUCUAUGACACACUUGAUCGAAUAUGACAGACACCGAAAAUCACGACUCAGCCCCCUCCAGCACCUCUACCUGUUGCCCGCCGAUCACAGCCGGAAUGCAGCUGAAAGAUUCCCUGGGGCCUGGUUCCAACCGCCCACUGUGGACUCUGAGGCCUCUGCAUUUGCGGGUGGUCUGCCUGUGA